rnacentral:misc_RNA from 1 species
UUGGGACAUAAAUCUAAAGCACAGAAGAAUUAAUGUGGCCAGAUGCUAAUUACUUUAAGAGCGGAGUUGAAGACCCUUUAGAUGGGGAUACCUGUCCUCACCCCUCUCCUCCUAUAAAAAUUUCCUAAUGAGGUGGAAAUGGAAAUUACAAAGCCUAACUUGCACUGGCCUUGCCUGUUGCCAAUCUUAAACCCAACACAUCCAAAGAGACUUUCUUAAUGGAGUUUUAGAUGGUUCUCUUAAUCAUUUGAGUUAUAAGUAUUUCAAUAAAAUCCCAUUCUUUUGAAAUGAUGAGCUUUUUAUUCUCAUGCCUUUUUAGCACUGCAUUUCUUCACUUGCUUACUUUUCCCUCCUUUUUCUUCUUCAGGUCACUUCAGGCAUGAGCCCAG